CACGUAGUUAGCCGGAGCUUCCUCCCCAGGUACCGUCAUCUUCGUCCCUGGGGACAGUGGUUUACAAUCCAGAGGACCGUCUUCCUACACGCGGCGUCGCUGCAUCAGGGUUUCCCCCAUUGUGCAAUAUCCCCCACUGCUGCCUCCCGUAGGAGUCUGGGCCGUGUCUCAGUCCCAAUGUGGCCGUUCAACCUCUCAGUCCGGCUACCGAUCGUCGGCUUGGUGGGCCGUUACCUCACCAACUACCUAAUCGGACGCGAGCCCAUCUUCGAGCGAUAAAUCUUUGAUACAAAAGGGAUGUCCCUCCCGUAUGUUAUGCGGUAUUAGCGACCGUUUCCAGCCGUUAUUCCCCUCUCGAAGGCAGGUUGCUCACGUGUUACUCACCCGUCCGCCACUAAACUAUACAAAAUUCCAUCCGAAAACUUCAUCUCGCAUAGUCCCGUUCGACUUGCAUGUGUUAGGCGCGCCGCCAGCGUGUCCUGAGCCACGGAGUCAACUACU
rnacentral:rRNA from 1 species